rnacentral:rRNA from 1 species
GAUGAACGCUGGCGGCGUGCCUAAUACAUGCAAGUCGAACGCUGGAAAUCUAGCUUGCUAGAUUGAAGGAGUGGCGAACGGGUGAGUAAUACAUAAGCAACCUACCCACGAAGACUGGGAUAAUCUCUGGAAACGGGGACUAAUACCGGAUAGGUAAUCGGAAGGCAUCUUCUGAUUAUUAAAGGUUAAAAACACUGGUGGAUGGGCUUAUGGCGCAUUAGUUAGUUGGUGAGGUAACGGCCCACCAAGACGAUGAUGCGUAGCCGGCCUGAGAGGGUGAACGGCCACAUUGGGACUGAGACACGGCCCAGACUCCUACGGGAGGCAGCAGUAGGGAAUUUUCGGCAAUGGGGGAAACUCUGACCGAGCAACGCCGCGUGAGUGAUGACGGCCUUCGGGUUGUAAAGCUCUGUUGUAAGGGAAGAACGGUAGAUAGAGAAUAUCUAAAUGACGGUACCUUACCAGAAAGCCACGGCUAACUACGUG